rnacentral:snoRNA from 1 species
AAAGCAGGUCUGCAAUUGCAGCUCUCCUUGUCUGUAGAGUGCUGUCAUUAACCCUGCUGAGAGCAUUUUCUGCUGCCGCACUUCACUCCUCCUCAUUGGAAUGAUGCUGAGGAAGCUAUGUAGCUGCAGGACAGCU